rnacentral:rRNA from 1 species
AGUGAACGCUGGCGGUAGGCCUAACACAUGCAAGUCGAACGGCAGCACAGUAAGAGCUUGCUCUUACGGGUGGCGAGUGGCGGACGGGUGAGGAAUACAUCGGAAUCUACUUUUUCGUGGGGGAUAACGUAGGGACACUUACGCUAAUACCGCAUACGACCUACGGGUGAAAGCAGGGGAUCUUCGCACCUUGCGCGAUUGAAUGAGCCGAUGUCGGAUUAGCUAGUUGGCGGGGUAAAGGCCCACCAAGGCGACGAUCCGUAGCUGGUCUGAGAGGAUGAUCAGCCACACUGGAACUGAGACACGGUCCAGACUCCUACGGGAGGCAGCAGUGGGGAAUGUUGGGCAAUGGGCGCAAGCCUGAUCCAGCCAUACCGCGUGGGUGAAGAAGGCCUUCGGGUUGUAAAGCCCUUUUGUUGGGAAAGAAAAGCAGCAGGUUAAUACCCCGCUGUUCUGACGGUACCCAAAGAAUAAGCACCGGCUAACUUCGUG